AUUCCCUACUAAAAAAACAUCAAUAAAGUUUGUUAAAGUAAAUACUAAAAUCAUAGUCAUACUCAAUACAUUUCACAUUGUACAAUAAUUGACAAAAAAGGGACAGCCUGGUGCACUAAGCUCUCGCUAUGCACAGGAUCCAGGAAAAUACUACUACAAGGGUCUAUUGUACAACAGCCAACUAACAUUCCCGAUACACUGACCUAACAAGCCCUUAUCGACUGUUAAGUGAUAUAUAUAUAUAUUCCAAAAUGCACACGUUUCUGUUUUCCAAUAUAUCUCGCGG
rnacentral:misc_RNA from 1 species